rnacentral:rRNA from 1 species
GUGCCAGCCGCCUGCGGGGAAUUCCAGCUCCAAUAGCGAAUAUUAAAGUUGUUGUGGUUAAAAAGCUCGUAGUUGAACCUUGGGCCUGGCUGGCCGGUCCGCCUCACCGCGUGCACUGGUCCGGCCGGGCCUUUCCCUCUGUGGAACCCCAUACCCUUCACUGGGCGUGGCGGGGAAACAGGACAUUUACUUUGAAAAAAUUAGAGUGCUCCAGGCAGGCCUAUGCUCGAAUACAUUAGCAUGGAAUAAUAAAAUAGGACGCGCGGUUCUAUUUUGUUGGUUUAUAGGACCGCCGUAAUGAUUAAUAGGGACAGUCGGGGGCAUCAGUAUUCAACUGUCAGAGGUGAAAUUCUUGGAUCAGUUGAAGACUAACUACUGCGAAAGCAUUUGCCAAGGAUGUUUUCAUUAAUCAGGAACGAAAGUUAGGGGGAUCGAAGACGAUCAGAUACCGUCGUAGUCUUAACCAUAAACUAUGCCGACUAGGGAUCGGACGGGUGUUAUUCAUGACCCGUUCGGCACCUUACGAGAAAUCAAAGUGCUUGGGCUCCAGGGGGAGUAUGGUCGCAAGGCUGAAAACUUAAAGAAAUUGACGGAAGGGCACCACCCAGGGGUGGGAGCCCGCGCCUAAAUUUUGACUCAACCACGGGGAAACUCACACAGUCCAGACACAAUAAGGAUUGACAGAUUGAAGAGCUCUUUCCUUGAUUAUGUAGAUGGGAGGGCAUGGGCCGUUCUUAAGUUUGGGGGGGUGGACUUGUCUUGCUUUAUUGCAAUAACGAGAACAGAACGUAAAACCUGCUAAAUAACCCCGCAUUGCUCUCCGGCAGUGCGCA